ACCUACUAGCAUUCAAGUUUUCAGAAAAUGACCAAAAAAAAGUUGAUCUCACCGUUCCCAUUUUGGGCUCUUUCUUCUUAUCCACUUUGAAAUUAGAUUCUGGGUUUAGCAUAGGGUUUAAGAAAAAGCUAAGUCUAGCUGGUGGGGGUGGUUUCUCUUUUCUUAUUUUCUUUAUAAAAAAAGAAAAGAAAGAAGGCGAAAGACUUGUAUUGUGAGUAUAUAUGCACACACAUACACAGAUCCCUAUGAAAUGAAGUGGGUGCUCCCAGCAUCACUUGCUAGUAACACUUAUUCCUUCUGCUUAGUUUAAAGAGACCAGUUUUAUUAUGCUCGAGUGAAGAAAGAGAGAGAAAGAGAAGAAAGAGUUUUGGUUGGUUGUUUUUCUUGUGUGAGAAAGAAAAAAGAAACAAAAAAACCUUCCUGUAGCUAAACAACAAAAACCAAGUCUUCAUUGGCAACAAGAAGAUUAUUAUUUUGAUAUGAUUUGUUUAUUUGCCACCCAAUGAUUGACUUUGCCUAGCUGCUGCUACGAGAGACGAUAUUC
rnacentral:lncRNA from 1 species